CACGUAGGCGGCCUGGUAAGUCAGAUGUGAAAGCCCGGGGCUUAACCCCGGAAGUGCAUUUGAUACUGCUAGGCUUGAGUAUGGGAGAGGGAAGUGGAAUUCCUGGUGUAGAGGUGAAAUUCGUAGAUAUCAGGAGGAACACCGGUGGCGAAGGCGACUUCCUGGACCAAUACCGACGCUGAGGUGCGAAGGCGUGGGUAGCAAACA
rnacentral:rRNA from 1 species